rnacentral:rRNA from 1 species
UCGGGAAUUUUGGGCAAUGGGCGAAAGCCUGACCCAGCAACGCCGCGUGAAGGAUGAAGUAUUUCGGUAUGUAAACUUCGAAAGAAUAGGAAGAAUAAAUGACGGUACUAUUUAUAAGGUCCGGCUAACUACGUGCCAGCAGCCGCGGUAAUACGUAGGGACCAAGCGUUGUUCGGAUUUACUGGGCGUAAAGGGCGCGUAGGCGGCAAUUCAAGUCAUCUGUGAAAUCUCCGGGCUUAACUCGGAACGGUCAGAUGAUACUGCUUUGCUAGAGUGCAGAAGGGGCAAUCGGAAUUCUUGGUGUAGCGGUGAAAUGCGUAGAUAUCAAGAGGAACACCUGAGGUGAAGACGGGUUGCUGGGCUGACACUGACGCUGAGGCGCGAAAGCCAGGGGGAGCAAACGGGAUUAGAUACCCCUGUAGUCCCUGAGCGGGCUGGCAAGGCGCAU